UUUCUCACCUCAAACCAAGUCCAAUACACCAUUUAAUACAUUCUCACAUUUUUAUCUCCAAAACCCUAGAUGCCAAAAUCCUAGUUUACAUAAUUCAUUCCACUAAUGACAUUAAAGUGUAAAAUCAACAUCUACACACUUAAUCCAACUUCUCUAACAUUUUAAUUCCAAAAUUUUUCAUCAAAUCCAAUAUUUCCCUAGGCUGGCCGAAUUCCUUAUGAUUCCUUAUCUUAUCAUUUUGUUUCAAUUUUCAUCAAAUUCCAACUUAAUACAAGUAUUUAAUCAUUAAAAUAGAGAAAAAUUGAAGAAAUAAACACUAACCUUGCUUGAAGGGUUUCUAAACUUUCUUAUCUUCAAGUUUUUCUUCCCCAACUUUCACCAUUACAUGAUCAAGGUCUCAAUUUCAUACCUAAACCCUAACCCAUUCCAUCUCAAAUCAUGCAUUCACUUGCCUUUCACUAUCCUAAACAAUAGGUUAGUAUUAAGGGCAGCCAUGGUAUCAUUUUAAUUCAAGAAAAUCUUCAAAACCCUACCAAGCCCAAGGUUGUUGGAAUUUUAAGCAAGACGUAUGCAUGAUGUUUAUUAAAUUUUCUUGUAAAUUUGCAUUCAAUUUCACUCCUUCAACAUGAAUUGAAAG
rnacentral:misc_RNA from 1 species